GACGAACGCUGGCGGCGUGCUUAACACAUGCAAGUCGAACGGAAAGGCCCUGCUUUUGUGGGGUGCUCGAGUGGCGAACGGGUGAGUAACACGUGAGUAACCUGCCCUUGACUUUGGGAUAACUUCAGGAAACUGGGGCUAAUACCGGAUAGGAGCUCCUGCUGCAUGGUGGGGGGUGGAAAGUUUCGGCGGUUGGGGAUGGAUGCGCGGCUUAUCAGCUUGUUGGUGGGGUAGUGGCUUACCAAGGCUUUGACGGGUAGCCGGCCUGGGAGGGGGACCGGCCACAAUGGUACUGAGGUACGGCCCAGACUCCUACGGGAGGCAGCAGUGGGGAAUAUUGCACAAUGGGCGGAAGCCUGAUGCAGCAACGCCGCGUGCGGGAUGACGGCCUUCGGGUUGUAAACCGCUUUCGCCUGUGACGAAGCGUGAGUGACGGUAAUGGGUAAAGAAGCACCGGCUAACUACGUG
rnacentral:rRNA from 1 species